UGCAGUCGAGCGGACAGAUGGGAGCUUGCUCCCCUGAUGUUAGCGGCGGACGGGUGAGUAACACGUGGGUAACCUGCCUGUAAGACUGGGAUAACUCCGGGAAACCGGGGCUAAUACCGGAUGGUUGUUUGAACCGCAUGGUUCAAACAUAAAAGGUGGCUUCGGCUACCACUUACAGAUGGACCCGCGGCGCAUUAGCUAGUUGGUGAGGUAACGGCUCACCAAGGCAACGAUGCGUAGCCGACCUGAGAGGGUGAUCGGCCACACUGGGACUGAGACACGGCCCAGACUCCUACGGGAGGCAGCAGUAGGGAAUCUUCCGCAAUGGACGAAAGUCUGACGGAGCAACGCCGCGUGAGUGAUGAAGGUUUUCGGAUCGUAAAGCUCUGUUGUUAGGGAAGAACAAGUACCGUUCGAAUAGGGCGGUACCUUGACGGUACCUAACCAGAAAGCCACGGCUAACUACGUGCCAGCAGCCGCGGUAAUACGUAGGUGGCAAGCGUUGUCCGGAAUUAUUGGGCGUAAAGGGCUCGCAGGCGGUUUCUUAAGUCUGAUGUGAAAGCCCCCGGCUCAACCGGGGGAGGGUCAUUGGAAACUGGGGAACUUGAGUGCAGAAGAGGAGAGUGGAAUUCCACGUGUAGCGGUGAAAUGCGUAGAGAUGUGGAGGAACACCAGUGGCGAAGGCGACUCUCUGGUCUGUAACUGACGCUGAGGAGCGAAAGCGUGGGGAGCGAACAGGAUUAGAUACCCUGG
rnacentral:rRNA from 1 species